GACGUAGGGGGCGAGCGUUGUCCGGAUUCAUUGGGCGUAAAGCGCGCGUAGGCGGCCAGGUAAGUCGGAUGUGAAAUCUCACGGCUCAACCGUGGAACUGCAUUCGAAACUGUCGGGCUAGAGGCAGGUAGGGGAGAUCGGAAUUCCCGGUGUAGCGGUGAAAUGCGCAGAUAUCGGGAGGAACACCGGUGGCGAAGGCGGCUCACUGGCUCGUAUCUGACGCUCAGGCGCGACAGCGUGGGGAUCAAACAGG
rnacentral:rRNA from 1 species